UACGUAGGGCGCAAGCGUUGUCCGGAAUUAUUGGGCGUAAAGAGCUCGUAGGCGGUCUGUCGCGUCCGUUGUGAAAACUCGAGGCUCAACCUCGGGCUUGCAGUGGAUACGGGCAGACUAGAGUGCGGUAGGGGAGACUGGAAUUCCUGGUGUAGUGGUGGAAUGCGCAGAUAUCAGGAGGAACACCGAUGGCGAAGGCAGGUCUCUGGGCCGCAACUGACGCUGAGGAGCGAAAGCAUGGGGAGCAAACAGG
rnacentral:rRNA from 1 species